rnacentral:rRNA from 1 species
AUUGAACGCUGGCGGCAGGCCUAACACAUGCAAGUCGAACGAGUGGCGGACGGGUGAGUAAUGUCUGGGAAACUGCCCGAUGGAGGGGGAUAACUACUGGAAACGGUAGCUAAUACCGCAUACCAUCAGAUGUGCCCAGGUGGGAUUAGCUAGUAGGUGGGGUAAUGGCUCACCUAGGCGACGAUUCCUAGCUGGUAUGAGAGGAUGACCAGCCACACUGGAACGUAGACACGGUCCAGACUCCUACGGGGUGCAGCAGGGGGGAAUAUUGCACAAUGGGCGCAAGCCUGGUGCAGCCAUGCCGCGUGUAUGAAGAAGGCCUUCGGGUUGUAAAGUACUUUCAGCGGGGAGGCGUUACCCGCAGAAGAAGCACCGGCUAACUCCGUGCCAGCAGCCGCGGUAAUUC